GUGCACCAUAUCAGCAGCACAUAUAUAAAUAAGACACAGAGAAGAUUAGCAUAGUCCCUGCACAAGGGUGAUACGCAAAUUCAUAACGCAUUCCAUAUUUUU